rnacentral:rRNA from 1 species
UACGAAGGGGGCUAGCGUUGCUCGGAAUCACUGGGCGUAGAGCGCACGUAGGCGGAUUGUUAAGUCAGGGGUGAAAUCCUGGAGCUCAACUCCAGAACUGCCUUUGAUACUGGCGAUCUCGAGUCCGGGAGAGGUGAGUGGAACUGCGAGUGUAGAGGUGAAAUUCGUAGAUAUUCGCAAGAACACCAGUGGCGAAGGCGGCUCACUGGCCCGGUACUGACGCUGAGGUGCGAAAGCGUGGGGAGCAAACAGG